rnacentral:rRNA from 1 species
AUCCGGGGUGAGGACAGUGUCUGGUGGGUAGUUUGACUGGGGCGGUCUCCUCCCAAAGAGUAACGGAGGAGCACGAAGGUUAGCUAAUCACGGUCGGACAUCGUGAGGUUAGUGCAAAGGCAUAAGCUAGCUUGACUGCGAGAGUGACGGCUCGAGCAGGUACGAAAGUAGGUCUUAGUGAUCCGGUGGUUCUGAAUGGAAGGGCCAUCGCUCAACGGAUAAAAGGUACUCCGGGGAUAACAGGCUGAUACCGCCCAAGAGUUCAUAUCGACGGCGGUGUUUGGCACCUCGAUGUCGGCUCAUCACAUCCUGGGGCUGAAGUAGGUCCCAAGGGUAUGGCUGUUCGCCAUUUAAAGUGGUACGCGAGCUGGGUUUAGAACGUCGUGAGACAGUUCGGUCCCUAUCUGCCGUGGGCGUUGGAAGAUUGAGAGGGGCUGCUCCUAGUACGAGAGGACCGGAGUGGACGAAUCACUGGUGUUCGGGUUGUCAUGCCAAUGGCAUUGCCCGGUAGCUAAAUUCGGAAGAGAUAACCGCUGAAAGCAUCUAAGCGGGAAACUUGCCUCGAGAUGAGUCUUCCCUGGGGCUUUAAGCCCCCUGAAGGAACGUUAAAGACUAUGACGUUGAUAGGCUGGGUGUGUAAGUGCAGCGAUGCAUUGAGCUAACCAGUACUAAUGAUCCGUGAGGCUUAACCUU